rnacentral:rRNA from 1 species
AUUGAACGCUGGCGGCAUGCUUUACACAUGCAAGUCGAACGGUAACAGGCCGCAAGGUGCUGACGAGUGGCGAACGGGUGAGUAAUGCAUCGGAACGUGCCCAGUCGUGGGGGAUAACUACUCGAAAGAGUAGCUAAUACCGCAUACGAUCUAUGGAUGAAAGCGGGGGACCGUAAGGCCUCGCGCGAUUGGAGCGGCCGAUGUCAGAUUAGGUAGUUGGUGGGGUAAAGGCUCACCAAGCCAACGAUCUGUAGCUGGUCUGAGAGGACGACCAGCCACACUGGGACUGAGACACGGCCCAGACUCCUACGGGAGGCAGCAGUGGGGAAUUUUGGACAAUGGGCGCAAGUCUGAUCCAGCAAUGCCGCGUGCAGGAAGAAGGCCUUCGGGUUGUAAACUGCUUUUGUACGGAACGAAACGGCUCUGGUUAAUACCCGGGGCUAAUGACGGUACCGUAAGAAUAAGCACCGGCUAACUACGUG